GGAUCCUGAGUACGGCGGGACACGUGAAAUCCCGUCGGAAGCUGGGAGGACCAUCUCCCAAGGCUAAAUACUCCCUAGUGACCGAUAGUGAACCAGUACCGUGAGGGAAAGGUGAAAAGCACCCCGGAAGGGGAGUGAAAUAGAACCUGAAACCGUGUGCCUACAAGUAGUCAGAGCCCGUUAACGGGUGAUGGCGUGCCUUUUGUAGAAUGAACCGGCGAGUUACGAUCCCAUGCAAGGUUAAGUUGAUAAGACGGAGCCGCAGCGAAAGCGAGUCUGAAUAGGGCGAUUUGAGUAUGUGGUCGUAGACCCGAAACCAGGUGAUCUACCCAUGUCCAGGAUGAAGUUCAGGUAACACUGAAUGGAGGUCCGAACCCACGCACGUUGAAAAGUGCGGGGAUGAGGUGUGGGUAGCGGAGAAAUUCCAAUCGAACUUGGAGAUAGCUGGUUCUCUCCGAAAUAGCUUUAGGGCUAGCCUCAUGUGUAAGAGUCUUGGAGGUAGAGCACUGUUUGGACUAGGGGCCCUCAUCGGGUUACC
rnacentral:ncRNA from 2 species